rnacentral:rRNA from 1 species
GAUGAACGCUGGCAGCGUGCUUAACACAUGCAAGUCGAACGAAGCAUUUGCGACAGAUUUUUUCGGAAUGAAGUUGCUUAUGACUGAGUGGCGGACGGGUGAGUAACGCGUGGGUAACCUGCCUUGUACUGGGGGAUAGCAGCUGGAAACGGCUGGUAAUACCGCAUAAGCGCACAAUGUUGCAUGACAUGGUGUGAAAAACUCCGGUGGUAUAAGAUGGACCCGCGUCUGAUUAGCUAGUUGGUGAGAUAACAGCCCACCAAGGCGACGAUCAGUAGCCGACCUGAGAGGGUGACCGGCCACAUUGGGACUGAGACACGGCCCAGACUCCUACGGGAGGCAGCAGUGGGGAAUAUUGCACAAUGGAGGAAACUCUGAUGCAGCGACGCCGCGUGAGUGAAGAAGUAAUUCGUUAUGUAAAGCUCUAUCAGCAGGGAAGAUAGUGACGGUACCUGACUAAGAAGCUCCGGCUAAAUACGUG